rfam:Roseovarius nubinhibens ISM scf_1099451318306 genomic scaffold, whole genome shotgun sequence.
GGCAUGGGGCCGCCGCGACUGCCCCGUGAGGCUUUGGCCCAAAGUCGCAUCCACUGACCUUUCACAGAGGAUGCUUUGUCAUG